rnacentral:rRNA from 1 species
UGGGGAAUUUUGGACAAUGGGCGAAAGCCUGAUCCAGCAAUGCCGCGUGUGUGAAGAAGGCCUUCGGGUUGUAAAGCACUUUUGUCCGGAAAGAAAUCCUUGGCUCUAAUACAGUCGGGGGAUGACGUACCGGAAGAAUAAGCACCGGCUAACUACGUGCCAGCAGCCGCGGUAAUACGUAGGGUGCAAGCGUUAAUCGGAAUUACUGGGCGUAAAGCGUGCGCAGGCGGUUUGCUAAGACCGAUGUGAAAUCCCCGGGCUCAACCUGGGAACUGCAUUGGUGACUGGCAGGCUAGAGUAUGGCAGAGGGGGGUAGAAUUCCACGUNUAGCAGUGAAAUGCGUAGAGAUGUGGAGGAAUACCGAUGGCGAAGGCAGCCCCCUGGGCCAAAUACUGACGCUCAUGCACGAAAAGCGUGGGGGAGCAAACAGGAUUAGAUACCCUGGUAGUCCACGCCCUAAACGAUGUCAACUAGUUGUUGGGGAUUCAUUUCCUUAGUAACGUAGCUAACGCGUGAAGUUGACCGCCUGGGGAGUACGGUCGCAAGAUUAAAACUCAAA